rnacentral:tRNA from 1 species
CGGCGAGUAGCGCAGCUUGGCAGCGCAACUGGUUUGGGACCAGUAGGUCGGAGGUUCGAAUCCUCUCUCGCCGA